GUCCAAGGGAGUUCAGACUCGUGCUGUUUUUUUAUGGUUGUAGACCUCACCGGGCUGCUUCAGUGGUGACUAUUUCUACCUGAAGAUGCAUGCAUUUUUUCAGCUUCUUCUACCAGUGUUAGCCUUUGUGUCCAGUAGCUAUGACAAAUGAAGAAAUUACACCUCAUCAAGAUGAAGUACUGGAAAGUGAAAAAGAUUGAGAUAGCUUCAGUGGGACAUUAAGCACCUCAAAGAAGUGGAGCACCAAAAGUAAGCCUCUAUUGUCUUUCCUAAAAUGAAUAAAAGGAGCUAGCUUAAAAUGACUCAUUGCAUCCAAUCCAGGAGCCAUACAGGAGAUAUGAUGGCUUUACAAUUAACAGUGCAAAAGACCACUGAGGUGAUGUAAGGCAUUUGUGGAAGAUCCUGGUCAUUACCCACAGUGCUGAGCAAACCAUCUCUUCUGAGGGCACCAGCAGAGACAUCCUUGCUGUGUCUGGCACCUGGGACAGGCAACCAGCGUGGUGUCCUUCUGCCUGUCUCUCCAUUUAAGGUGAAGAGCACCUCCUGUGCUCAUUUCCUCUCCUUUUCCAAGGAGGACCAGAAAGAGGGCAGGUGGGUGACAAGCCCAUGACAACUUCUCCCCACCUAGCCUUGGAAGGAGGCAGGAGAUGAAGAGUCCAGUGACAACUGAGAUUAAGAAGGUAAAGUAGCUAUACUGGAGAAAAUGGGAAGGAACAGAUGUGGGGAAUGUACUGAUAUGGAAGCUGUACAGUGUAGGGAACUGCUAAAUAGGUUUAAUAAUAGGAGUCUUACUUUUUAAAACCCCAUUAAAUGCUCAGCUGUAGCUGGAGUCACUGCAGAUUUGAGGACUAUGAUCAGGAAAUAAUGUUUAUCAGGACAAAAUCAAAG
rnacentral:lncRNA from 1 species